GAUUGCACCAUUGCACUCCAGCCUGGGCAACAAGAGCCAAGCUCUGUCUCGGGGUGGUGCGGUGGGGGAGAAGUAAUACAGAGACAUCUCUUACACAUUUUCCCAUUUCCUUUACAUUUUGCAAAACUAUAGUAUAAUAUCAUAACCAGGGUAAUAACAUUGAUACAAUCCACGAACUUUAUUCAGAUUUUUCCAGUGUUAUUUGUAUGGUAGUCCCUCAGUAUCCAUGGAGGAUAUGUUUCAAGACCUCCCAGUGAAUGCCCGAAACCAUGGAUAGUACUGAAUGCUACAUACACUGUGUUUUUUCCUAUACCUAUAUAACCAUGAUAAAGUUUAAUUUAGAAAUUAGGCACAGUAAGAGAUUAACAAUAACUAACAAUAAAAUAGAACAAUCGUAAUAUACUCUAAGAAAGGUUAUGAGAAUGUGGUCGCUCCUUCUCUCUCAAAAUAUCUUCUUGUACUGUGCUCACCCUUCUGGUGAUGAUGUGAGAUGAUACAGGGCCUACGUAAGGAGAUGAAGUCAGGUGCAUGACGUAGGCCUGUGACAUAGCGUUAGGCUACUGUUCACCUUGAACCCAGGCACUGCCACACCAUGACAGUCGAUCUGAUAACCGAGCUGGCUACUGAGUGACUAAGUGACUGCAGAAUGGAUCAGCUGGACAAAGGGAUGAUUUAUGUCCCAGGCGGGACAGAGCAUGACAACUUGAGAUUUUAUCACAUUACUCAGAAUAGUGGCAAUUUAGAACUUAGGUAUUGCUUACUUCUGGGUUUUUCCAUUUAAUAUUUUUGGACUAUGGUCGACUGCAGGUAACUGAAACAGCAGAAAGUGAAACUGAGGAUAAAUGAGGACUACUGUACCCAUGUGGUGUGAGUGUGUGAGUGUGUGUGUGUGUGUGUGUGUGUGUGAGAGUAUUGAGUUACACACAGUUUUAUCACCUGUGUAGGUUUGUGUAUUCAUUAUCACAUUCAAGAUACUGUACAGAUCCAACACCACAAGGAUCCCUUAUGCUGCACACCCAUGUGUCUUUUAGUACAAAAGGAGUAGUCCAGUAAUUUAUGUCACCUAUUCCCAAAAAAGUCAAUUAAAAAGUAUAACGUCAAGAAUUAAGGAAAUUCUACCCCCAAUAAUUUUGCACUCUACACAAAGGAUUUCUUGCAAUUUGGGGCAGGUCAGUCUACAUUAGUAAAAUUGAACCAUGAAGGGUUUUCUCCAUGGAUGCACUUUUAUUACUGUCAGGUAUGGUAACCUGAACUACGUGCUGGAUAAAGGCCAUGCAUGGCUUGUUAACAAUUUCUUUGAUAAUGAUUUUUUUUCUGUCAUUUGCACAAUAUUUCUGAAUGAAUGCUCCAUGAAAAUAGCUUAUUUGAGUAGUUUGUUCAUUCAAGCAGCUUAGCCAUGGCCCUUGCAAUAUUACUUUCACCAUUAUCUGUUUCCUAGAGUAUCAGAGAUGGAGAAACUCUUGGGGACCAUUGAAUCUUAACAUCCUGUUUUACUUUUGAGGAAACUAAUGUCAAAGGAAAUUGGAAUUGGGGCUGGAACCCAGGCUUUCUGAUUCUUUGCUUAGUAAAUUCUUUAAAAAAUGCCAGAAAGUUAAGGUUAUAAAAAUAUUUAAUGCAAAUUAACUCUUGGUAAAAUUUUUUCAAAUUCUGAAAUUCUUCUGAAAUGCUGGAAUCUUUCUGGGAAUUUUUUGGCAUUUAGUGUAGUUAGUACAUGGGAAAAAUUAGGAAUUUUCAGGGUGAGCCACUUCUUGUGACAAAAAAGAGAUUUGUUUAAUCAGAAACACUGGCUGUUGGAAUGCUCCUAGGUUGCUUUAGAAGAGAGUUUGCAUUGUUGGUUCACCACCUUCUACCUGGGUUGUAACCUCAUAUAACCAUUAGGAUGAUUGACCGUUUUGAAAAUGAGUGGCCAUUAAUUCAUUUUGUUAGGGGUCUUUGAGCUUACGAGUUUUCAACUUUUUUCAUCCUUCUUGUUGGAAUUCUGGGUUGUGAUUUGAAGAUACUUCCAAAGAAAUAAAAUAUUCCUAGGACCUUAAGAACCCAGGCUUUGUAAACGUGAUAUGAAGGACCUCUUGAAUGGCAUUCCACAGUUUGGUUGUUUGAAAUCACAGGUGUUUGUUGGGCCAUGUGCAGGAAGAAAGUCAUUGUACCUACUUUAAGUAAAUCUGGGCAUGAGAACAGGUCAAUUCCGGUAUUUUCCAAGCAUUGUGGAAUAUUUCUUCCCUUACAUAUGUUAAAUUGAUAUCAUACUACAUAUAAUGUUUUAGAUCCUGCUUUUAAAAUAAAAAACCCCUAAACUUGACAGGGUGCAGAACAAUAUAUCACCCCAAAAACCCCCCUCAAGCUACCCCUUUAUAUUCAUACCCUUCUUCCAUCUCUGAACCCUGAUGUGUUUUCUGUUACUAUAGUUUUGUCUUUUUGAGAACGUCAUAGAUGGAGUUCUAUAGUUUAUAAUCUUUUGAAACAGGCUUUUUUCACUCAGUACAAUGCUUCUCAGCUUCAUCUAAGUUGUUUUGCACAUCAGUAGUUCAUUCCUUUUUAUGGCUGAGUAGUAUUCCACUAUACAGAUGUACAAUAGUUUGUCUGUCCAUUUAAUGUUGAAGAACAUUUGAGUUGUUUUUAGUUUUGUUAAUUUAUGAACAGAGUUGCUAAAAACACUCAGAUCCAGGGUUUGUAAUUCCUUUUUCUUGACUUAUUACAGUGGCUAAGACUUUUAGUACAAUAUUGAGUUUGAAUGGACAUCCUUGUCUUGUGUCCCUGAUAUUAGGGGGAAAACGUUUAGUCCUUCCCUGUUAAGUAUGCUAUUUGCUGUAGGUUUUUCAUAGAUUGCCUUUAUCAAAUUGAGUAAUUUCCUUUUUCGCCUUAGUUUUCUGAGAGUUUUUAUCAAGGGUGGAUAUUGGUUUAUCAGAUGUUUUUCAUGUAUCAAUUGAUAUGCUGAGGUGGUUUUAAUUCUUUAGACAGUUAAUAUGGUGGAUUGCAUGGAUUGAUUUUCAAAUACGGAAUCAGCCUUGCAUACCCUGUAUAAGACCCACUUGAUCAUGGUGUGUUUUUCAUUUUGUAUUUCCUGGAUUUGAUUGAUCAUAUUCGGUUGAGGGCUUUUGUGUCUAGGAUCACACAAGAUACGGACCUGUAAUUUUCUUCAUUUGGUACUAUCACUGUCUGGUUUUGCUACCAGGGUAAUACUGGCACCAUAAAAUGAUUUAGGAGAUGCUUCCUCACAGUUUCUGGAAGAAACUAUGUACAAUUGGUGGGUCAUGCUUUUUAACUUAUCAUGGGCAUCCCUCCAUGGAAUUAAUCUUAAAAACUAGUUUUAAUGUCUGCUUAAUAGUAAUAAUAAUCACAGUAUUUUUCUUCAUGUUACAGCAUGUAAUGUUUAUUGGGCAUUUAGUGUGGCCGAGGACUGUUCUAAGUGCUUUACUUGUACUGACUCCUUUAAUCUCCACAAUAACUCUAUAGAGUAGAUACCAUUAUUAUCUCCAAUUUACAUGCGAAGAAAAAUAAGACAAACAGUUUAAAUAACUUGCUCAAGGUCACAAAGUUUCUAUGUGGUCAAGUAGAAUUUGAAUCCAGGCAGUCUGAUUCCACAUCCUGUGGUCUUAACUAUUACAUCGUAUCCUUUGAUUAUGUCAUAACUUAUUUAUUCAGGGUUCCAUUUGAGAUCCAUAUUUUGAGAUUUUCCAUGCCUUCACUUUGAUGACUGUUCUUGUCAGAAGUCUUUGACAAUCUCUGCCGGUUUCUUUAGGUUGGAUUUCUAAAGAGCCAUUGAGAUUGCACAGCUCGGAUUUCUUCUGCAUGUCAUAAAUUUUGCUAAUAGUAUAAACCCGUGUUUUUCAAAGUGAGAGCCUUGGAACAGCAGCAUCAGCAUCGCCCAGGUCCCCUGUGAGCUUGUUAGAAAUGCAGAGUCAUGGGCCCCUCCCCAACCUGCUGAAUGGGAGCCUCUGAGGAUGAGACCCAGGAAAGUUUGCUUAACGAAGUUGGCAUGUAUUGCCUGUGAAAGAGAAGUUUGAGAAGCACUGCUGUGAAACAGGGCAGCCAGGAGGUGCUGUGAUUUUGCCCUCUGCACGUGGUCACACACUCAAGCAUAUGGUUUGCUCCUUGCAUGACUGCACUUCAGAUGAAAUGCCAAGAUUGAGACCCUUCUAUGCUAGUGAAGCACAGGCUACUUUAUUGAGAGCCUAGCAAUAUUGAGAGAGAAAAAUGCAGACCUUCUUGGGGUAGAAAGGAGGAUGGGUUUCCUUUCCUUAUGAGAUGGGAUCCAGCUUCCUUACUACUAUAGAGUCUCCCAUGGAUGGUGGCUUUGCUGACUUCAGAGAGAGCUGCAGGUGCACAGGAGCACCGUGAUGUCAUUGGUGUGCUCUGAAGAAAUGAGGCCAUGAGAAGAAGGUGAACAGAAGGUAUUUCUAAAGGGUCUGGGAAGAGGAACAGCACCUAUGAUAAUGGCUAUCAUUUCUGUUGCACAGUACUGAUUAUUUUGAUGGUUGGCCCUGGGCUUUGAUUUCCAGCCCUGUGGUCACACACACUCCUUAUAAUCAUCUGCUCCCAGGAGAAGGUGUCAUGAAUUCUCUCUUUUCCUCCAGCCUUAGCUGUCACUGGCCUGGAAUACGGUGUGACUGUGUAGAAGCUGUUGGCAUUGUUUCUGCAUUGUAAACUCACACACACUGAGUUAAAUGCUGCUGAGCAGUUAAUGUGCCCACUCCGGCUAUUUUCUACCCAAGGAUACUUGACUCAUUUCUUAUAUCCUCUACUGUCCUUUAAAGCUCAAUAGUGCUCUAUCGGGGCCAUUUAAUUUGGUGGCACAAGGCAUGCCCUGCAUGGGAUGUCUGCUUUUGUUUGAGUGGGACUGAGACCCUGGCCUGGAGCUGUAGCUGCUUGGAGCAAGAACUGCCUUUUUCAAAUGUGCAUGAAGGUGCUACCCACUCAUCUUCCCUGCCUAUGCCCCUACCUAGUGCAGAAGUAAGGUGAGGUAGGGUGGUGCUGUCGCCAGUUUGUACAAAGGACCAGCUGCGGCUCUGGGUCCCUGUAUGGUGCAAGGAGAAACAUUUAUUUUCACUCAGGUGCUCUGCCUUAAUCUAAAGCAAAACUCAUGGACUUACCUCCUACACUAGGGUCCCUUCCUAUUUACACACCUAGGUUGAGUACCUGAGUCUCCUGAAUUCCUGUGUCUUCAUCAGAGCAGCGUCUGGGAAGCUGGGUCUCUGUACUAGCUCCUUCACAGCGUCUCUCCCAUGGCUCCUCAUCUGGACUGUCACCUCAUCUCCCCUCAAGUCCAGAUCUUGACACCUUGUACUUGCACCUUCUGGCUUCUUACCUGUCUGGCCCUCUAGACCCCAACCCCUUCCUCCUGACUGUUCCAGCGCAUCACAUGGACUGAGCUUCCUGCAGUAGCUUUGAGAUGCUGGCAGGUGCAUCCCCUGCAGAACAUCCAUUCAUAUGUCCCAGUUUCUCCAUUACCUACAAGGUGCAACUGAGCCCUGCAGCCUGCACCUGGAGCCUCCAGAUUUCUGCUCCAGCCUACCUUGAAGAUGAAGAGCCAGUCUGUAGUCUUCAAGGUCAAGGUGUCUAUGGGUCAUAAAUGCAUUUAACAGCAUGAACGCUGGGUGACAAACCCAAUAAAGAAAUAGUUUCACUCUUUGAACACUUGUGAAGUGCUCAUGUAUGAGACAAAUUUCAAGGCCUAAUUUGACUCCAACGUCCUGACCACUUCUUCUAUCUCAUGGCGAACUUUUCUGUUUUUGAAUUUAUUCAUAAUUUAAUUUGAUAUAAUUCAACCAACUUUUAUUGGGGAGCCAUGCUCUGUUGGUAACAUAUGGGUCUAAAUAGCAUAUGGGACACAGUCGUUGCUUUGAAGGCACCUAGAGUCAAGUAGGGAGAAUGGGCAUGUACAGUCAAAAGACUCUCAUGCCACCUGUGAGGUGCCCCUAAAGAGCAGUGUGGGAGUGUGCAAGGGGUGUUGAUAGUGAGUGAUAUGGGUUAAUUCCACAAGACAGCUCAGGGGGAAGCCAGCAGUGCCUUCCUAGAGAAGCUUGGAGUUUCUGUCCCUCCCAGGGGGUUGAUAGACCGGCCCAUAUAUCAUAGUAUGCUUCUAUCCUCCACUCUACACUAGUUUUAGAGAAAAAAUAAGCAGGCUUGUCAUGGUGGCUCAUGCCUAUAAUCCUAGUACUUCGGAAGGCUGGGGUGGGAGGAUUGCUUGAGGCCAAGAGCUUGAGACCAGCCUUGGCAACAUAGCAAGACCGCAACUCUGCAAAAAAAAUAUGCAAAAAUUGGCCAGGCAUGGUGGUGCAUGCCUGUAUUCCCAGCCACUGGGGAGGCUGAGGAGGCAGCAUCAUUUGAGCCCAGGCGUUUGAGGCUGCAGUAAACUAUGAUUGCGCCACUUCACUCCAGCCUGGGUGACAAAGUGAGACCCUGUCUCAAAAACAAAACAAAACAAACAAAAAACAAACAAACUUAACAUGAGCACCAAGGGCAUAUUGAAAGGUCAACAGCUGUGGCAGAAACCCACAGAGAGAGAGGGAUGCAAGUGUGGAGAUGGAGUGAGGGAGUGUCCCUUGGGGAUGGUGGCUCAUGUUUAUAAACCUCACUCUAUUUUUCGGUAGAGUUUCCCUCUUCUUUUCUGGGCUGUUAUUCUCCAAGGAACUACCUAAGCUCUGGACACUUCCAAGCCUUGCAACGAACUUUAAAAUGUGAUAUUCAUUACAUUAUUUAGCACUUGGCCUGAAAUGAUGACAAUGAGAAAUUAUGGCAACACAACAAACAUUUGAUUAGCUCUGUUUCAUUAGGAUUCUUCACAUUUUGAGUUUAGAGACCCUCUAGGUUUCGGGAGCUGCAGAUGUUCAUCCAUUUUCCUUUCCUUCUGAAGUUCCUUCUGCCAUGGAAAGAGAAGUUGGGAGGAAUUUCAGCACCUGGUGCUCCUGGGCCUGCAGGCGGGGGUCAGUGUCUGGUGUGGAUGGCGGGGUCGUGCAUCUGGAUUUGGUUAGCUGGCUGGCCAUCUGCUGUUCCCCUGCCUCAGCUGCCCAUCUUCACCUGCUUUGCCAUCUGUAAGUCAUCCUGAGAAGGGAUUUCAUGAGAAUUACCUUCUGAGAAGGCCUGGUGUGCCGUCCCUUUCAAGUCAUGGGAAUCUGUGCUUUGUGGGUUCGGCACCUGUUCCCGUCAUGUGCUAGCUCAGCUUGCAGAACAUCCACCCAGCUUGCAGAACAGCUUGGGUCCAGUCUCUCUGAGACAACCAAACACCAGCAGGGCCAGGCUGGAAUCUGGGCUCUGAGCUGAUCCUUCCCCUGCUCUCCAUGCAUAGGACCUGUCUCUUCUCCUGCGUCGUCAUUGAAUGGACAACAGCAUGAGCAUUGACCUGUGGCUGAAUUCAGCUGGAUUGAGAUUCACUCUUGGUGAGAGGGAGAUUGAGCAGGAGAGAUAUGCAGCUCUCAUGAGGGGCUCUUGGUUUGGCCUCCUUCUCAUCAAAUCCCAGCCUGCUCCCCCUUUUUCCUCGCAGCCUCCACCUCGCCUUCUGAUUUAAGCCUGGGCCUGAGUUUCACGUCUGUCGGUUUUACUUUCAGUCGAUUUUACGGGUGCCUGAGCGGCUGUAACAUUUUCCUGCUGCCUUUUCUAUUUUCAACCCAAAUAGGAAGUGACAAAGAUGGUUUUGGUGCAGAGAGAAUGUGAUUCAUUUUGUUACUUUUUUAAAACUUUUUUUAAAGUUCAAUAUAUGUACAGAAAAGGGUAUCUAUCAUAAGUGUAUAUAGCUUGAUGAAUUUUCACUAACUAGACAGCAGCCGCCAAAUUAAGAAACAGAGCAGGAUCUGCACCCUUGAAACCUGCACAUGGUCCUUCCGAGUCACCCCCCACAAGAGUGACCACUGUCCCAGCUUCUAACAGCAGAGAGCAGCUCUGCCUGUUCUUGUGCCGUUUGUCAUCUGUGUGUCUGUUUUCUUGCUGAAUGUUAUGCUUGUGAGAUUCAUCCGUGUCGUCAUGUCUAGUUGUAGGUUAUUCAUUAUUGUUGCCGUUCACAGUUUUAUUGUGAGAACUGAUGGACAUUUGUGUGAUUUCCACUGUUCAUCUAUAAUGAGCUGUGCAGCUCAGAACAUUCUUGUUCAUGCCUUUCCGCCAUCACUUGCAUGUAUUUUGAUCUGGUGUAUACUCCAGAGUGGAAUGGCAGGGUCUGAGGGGAUGCUAUGUUCGGCUGCAGUAGAUCCUAAUAAACAGUUUUCCAACAUGGAGGUACCUAUUUAAAGUGUAACUUCGAUUUUAAAGCAAAGUGGAUGCUUGGGUUUGAACUUCACAGUCACAUUUAUUGGAUUGAAAGGGCUCAUUGGCAACCCACAGCCAAGAGACCAAGAGAGAGUCCUAACCAUGGGGAGGGAGCAGUUGCCAGUGCCCUGGCAUCCUGGUCCCCGCCCUGGUCUGGUGUUGGGUCUCUGCAGCAUGCAAAGGGGAUGGCCAGACAAGACACACCGAAGACACACCUCCUGCCCUCUGGAGGCUGAUUGUUUCCACAAUGACGACAAUGAUCAUCAGUAUUACUAUUGAUCUUUCUCCUCCUCCUGUCCUUCUCUUUCACUUCUCCCCUCCACUUCACCCAAAAAAAGGAGUUUUAUUCCCAUCCCUCACCCAGCACACACAUGGGCGCAUGCACACACACACACACACACACACCUGCCAAAUUCGUGGGAGGACCCACUCCUAAGGUUGGGAUGCAGUUGGGAAUCACAGUGUGGGGAAAAGUGUUAGUUACACUGGAGGAAGUGUGAUGCAAUCACUGGAGCUCUUUGAGAAAAGCUUAUUUUAAAAAAAAAAAAAAAAAACAACACAGAGUAAGAAUGAGUCUUUCCAAAAUUACUGUGUCUUGGGCCAGGCCUGGAGACAGCCCUAUCCCUCUCUUAUGCUCCUUGUGCAGUGUUUGAGAUGCCUAAGCCCGUAUGAAGCACAACAGGAGAAGCAGCCCCAGUACCCUCAGAUAAAAGCAACAGGUGAUGCGUUUUCUAAAUAGUGCAUUGCCUUUCUAGUGCCACCUCCUGCAACUGGGGAUCCCACUGCCAGCAGCCUCUCCAGGCACCCCCAAGGCUGUCUCCCACAGGUGGGCUAGGAGAUGGGGAACAGGGCUCGCUGCUCACCUGAGGACCUGCACGGGCAACUGGAAGGGGCCAGCUGAACACAAGAGGCACUGGGUGCUGUUGGAGAAGAGGGUGCUUCUUCGGGACAUUUGUUAGCCCAUCAGAGGAUGGUGACCCCAGGGUGGCUGACCCUUUCUUCCUCCAUUCACUUCAGCUGGGUGUGGCAGAGGAGCUUGGACACGCAUCAAUUGCAUGUCUGCAGGGCCAGAGAGGUGUGUCAUAUUAGCAGGUAACCAAUUUGAUCCACACCACCCUGUCACAUUGUUUUCACCCCAAGGGUCCUGGCUCCCAGCCUGAGGGAUCUCAAAGGUCCCCCUCGAUGGCUUUGCCUUUGAGAAGUAGGGGGAGUGGAGGCAUGGGUGAGGAAACUGCCUGGACACAACCCAGGGGCCCUGUGGGCAGCCUUGGCACUAGUCCAGGGCUGGGAAGCUGCCCCCUCAGUUCUAUGGCCCUCGUUGGACUGUAUGGGACCCCAUGGUCUGUGGAGUGGGAGAAGCACAAUCUGCGGUUGUCCUGAGUCUUUUCUGUCUUCCUGCAGGCUGCCCAACCCCAAGGGCCUAACAGAGAUGAUCAGUUUAACCAGGUAGAACAUGGUGGUUUUGAUACCUCCUUCUGUUAGUUUCUUCCAAAUGGCCAAUGUCUUGGAAAAUUCUGUUGACCAGUAAAGCUUUAUUAAUAAAGCAUUCAUUUUUUCGUUUUCCCACUGAAAAUCAUCAUAGACCCACAUGACUGCCAGUGGGGCUUCAGGUCACACUGCAACAACUGCUGUGACUACUAGAGUUUAUCUAACUGUGUCUGAAACUAGAGGCUCGUGAUGUUCUUGUGAGCCAUUGCAGCCUCAAUGGUGUACAUCUGAGGUUCCUGUUGCUUUGAAAUAACAUGCAGACCCUCAAUACCACACUGUCCUACUUCUAGAAGGAGAAGUAGCUCUGAAUUGUGAGUUUGCAUUGUAAAAGCAGUUUUCUCCUUCCAGGAGUUUCCAAAUUCUAAGUGACAGGGAACUCCAGGGAUAGUAAAACUCUCUUCAGAGUGGACAAAACUCUGUAUGUGCAGACAGGCUCAGGAAGCCAGGGAAGCCAGAGGAGGUGCUGCUGCAGUAACUCAUCUCUCUUGUGAAGGUGGAAAUGAAAAAGGAAUCUCAGACCUCCUUCUGUGGGUCACCCACUGUCUCUGGUUAGUGAGCCUGAUUUGUGGGCAGGUGAGUAAUUGAGGGAGGGAAGGAGGAUAGGCUGGGGAUGAAGGUUGGGUUGGGAUGUUGUCUCUGCUUGGGUUUGGCUGAUCCCACAGGGUGCUCUGGAGCACAACAACAUCACACAGUUGAUCUUAUCUUGGGUCAAUGGGACCACUUUUUGUAGACCCAGUCAGCCACUCACUAGCCCCUGGCUGCCCCUCGCAUGGGGCAGGGGAAAUGUGUGACUCCUAAGCAAGGCAGCUUCUCUGGACAUGGGGGAAGCUGAGAGCCAGGAGCAGCCAGAGCUCACAGCAGCAGGGUGCAUGGCCGGCAAGGGUAUCUGCAGGCAUUGGCAGCAAGUGCCACGCCUCCCACUUGUGAACCUGGCUGGCCACGGGCUACCACCUCUCUCAGCCUGUCCCGGUGAAGAGGGUUGGUCUAGAUUUAGAUCCUACUGUUUGAAUAAGUCUCUGCAGCCCUGCAGGGAUCUUGCAGUAGAUUGAGGGAAAGCAAACCAACCAUGUCCAAAAAGACCAUGCCAGUGGGCAAAGUGGAGCAGCGGAGAUGUGGCUGUUAGGGUAGGACACGGACGGGGUUAUCCAGAGGUGUGGGGAGGUGUGCCUGUCUCAGACCUGUCCAAGAUUCUUUCUGGAUGGCAUUUCUGCUCAGCCAUGUGUUCCUGCUUCGUCCAUGUGCUUUGAGGCCCCAGGGUUUGUGCACACAAUACUCGGGGCUUGGGAGUGCCCCAUGUAGCUCAGAGCUGUCCACCCCUCACUCCCCAGGCAUCUCCUCUCAGGCCGGGGAUGCUUUUCUCAGGAUGGCCUGGCCGUUUUCAGGCCACUCGGUUUCUCCAUUUCUCCAUUCUUGCGGUGGGCCUAUUGAUUAGGAGAAUCUCACCCAGUCUCGCUUUGGCCGGGGUAGCUCUGCCAGGUCUGAAUUCUUUUCAAAAAUUGAAAAGUACUUGUAAGUAGAUUAACCGUGCAUGCCCGGGGCGUUUCCCAAAGCCAGCAUUGACAAGUAGAUAAGAAUGAUUUAUAACUAGCACUUCAGUCUGCGUCAGUGGUGCUUGUGGACAGAUAACGGUGUCUUCGGCUCGAUUUCUUCUUGGCUGAGUUGGAGAUGCUCCUUCCAGGCUGGUGGCUCUGAAUUCAAGAACUCUGGCACACUCAGCUCUCAUUGAGGGCAAUCGUGAUGAAUAGUGAAUCAGCUUCCCCUGACAAUGGGGGUCAUUUUACUGCAAAAUGGCUGCCCUUUGUGUCUCUGGGAAAAGGGUGCUGAGAAAUGAAUGUCGAGGGCUGUAGAAAUGCUGAAUAAUAAGUGAACUUGAUCACAUCGGGCAGCGAGUCUGAAUGCCUCCCUUUGAUUUGACCCAGUUAUACCUUCAAGGUCCCAGGACUGGUGCUUUGGAAAAAGUGACUGGCUCCAGCACAUCUCUGUGUACCUCAAUGCUAUCAGAUCUCCAUCAUGGACUCUCAUCUCAAUAGAAUGUUAAGUUUUGAGAAUAAUAACUCAAAGAAUUUCCUGGAAAAGGCAGAGGAGGUGAGGGGUGGGAUUGUGAAUGGGCAUACUGGAGACCCAGCUCCAAGAGGAAGAUUAAUUUAGAACUCAGAGGGAGGGGCCUUGGCUUAAGCUGGAGCCAGGCUGCAUGGGCCCUGAUGGGAAUAAAUAGAAGCCCCAGGUUUUGUAGGUGUUUCACCUCAUUCCUUUAUUCAUUAAGUCAAUGGGCAGGUGUGGGAUUAGGUCAGUUUUGCUCGUAUUGCAUUUGAGAUGUCCCAUAUAGAUUGAGGUUUGGGCGAUAGAGGUUUGGGUUGUGGGAGGAAGCAAUUCUUUACUCUUUUCCCAAGACUGUACUGAAAGCAGCUGGGAUUGCAUCUGAUGUUUUCCACACGUGGCUGUAAUCUGAAAGUACAGGGCAGUUGUCGGUCGUCUCUAAAUUCACGGGGCAAGUUUGCAUCCCUAGUUAAGUAAUAAUUUAAAGAAAUGGUUAAUCAUGACCUUCCUACAGAUAUAAAAUAAACAUGUGUUGAAGAUUUUCUUUAACUCAUUAUGAAUGAGGAAACUGGUAAGAUGUUAUAGACAUUUCAAAGGAGAAUCCAAAGAACGGACACAAAUAUAGAUCAGGAGUAUUGAAAUGAAUGUGCAAAUGGAGGCAAAAUUGGUUUCUUUCAUAGUAGGGGAGAGAAGUCGAUUGAACCUACUAGACAAAAUUUGCAUGUAUAGAUAAUUAUUUUGCAUCACUGUCAAUUUACAGAGUUGUAAAAGAGCUCAAAUGCAAUGAAAAGUAAGAAUAAUCUGGAAAGGUGUGCUGUAAACAAUGCAUAAUUUCCUGUUGAACCACAUUUUUUUUCCUUUUCUCUUCUUAGUAAAGUUCAAUAUUUUUAUCAUUAAACUUGUUCAGAAAGUGUCUGUCUCUUUAAAAUAUGUAAGCAAUAAUAAAAGUUUCUUUUUUAUUUGA